rnacentral:pre_miRNA from 1 species
AGGCAGUGCAUUGCUAGCUGGCUGUUAAGAUUUUUCAUUUUAGCAGUUGCUAGUUGCACUCCUCU